GCUGAUGCAGAGGAGGAUUUCUCAGGUGAAGAAGGCGGUGAGGACGAGGAGGAUGAUGAUGACCCUGAGGCAAAUGGUGGUGAAGGAGGUAGUGACGAUGAAGAUGGUGAAGACGAUGAUGGUGAUGAUGAAGAAGGUGAUGAUGACGAGGAUGAGGAUGAGGAUGAGGAUGAAGAGGAAGAAGAUGACGAGGACCAGCCACCAUCCAAGAAGAAGAAAUGAUCUAGCUGCCUUCAUUCUCUCCCCUGUCUUGUUUCAGUCUGUUAGUUCUGCUGUUUAGAUGAUGAUG
rnacentral:lncRNA from 1 species